CUACAGGCUUAACACAUGCAAGUCGAGGGGAAACGAUAGAGAAAGCUUGCUUUUUCUAGGCGUCGACCGGCGCACGGGUGAGUAACGCGUAUCCAACCUGCCCACCACUUGGGGAUAACCUUGCGAAAGUAAGACUAAUACCCAAUGAUAUCUCUAGAAGACAUCUGAAAGAAAUUAAAGAUUUAUCGGUGAUGGAUGGGGAUGCGUCUGAUUAGCUUGUUGGCGGGGUAACGGCCCACCAAGGCAACGAUCAGUAGGGGUUCUGAGAGGAAGGUCCCCCACAUUGGAACUGAGACACGGUCCAAACUCCUACGGGAGGCAGCAGUGAGGAAUAUUGGUCAAUGGGCGAGAGCCUGAACCAGCCAAGUAGCGUGCAGGAAGACGGCCCUAUGGGUUGUAAACUGCUUUUAUAAGGGAAUAAAGUGGGAGUCGUGACUCUUUUUGCAUGUACCUUAUGAAUAAGGACCGGCUAAUUCCGUGCCAGCAGCCGCGGUAAUACGGAAGGUCCGGGCGUUAUCUGGAUUUAUUGGGUUUAAAGGGAGCGUAGGCCGGAGAUUAAGCGUGUUGUGAAAUGUAGAUGCUCAACGUCUGCACUGCAGCGCGAACUGGUUUCCUUGAGUACGCACAAAGUGGGCGGAAUUCGUGGUGUAGCGGUGAAAUGCUUAGAUAUCACGAAGAACUCCGAUUGCGAAGGCAGCUCACUGGAGCGCAACUGACGCUGAAGCUCGAAAGUGCGGGUAUCGAACAGGAUUAGAUACCCUGGUAGUCCGCACGGUAAACGAUGGAUGCCCGCUGUUGGUUUGAAUAGGUCAGCGGCCAAGCGAAAGCAUUAAGCAUCCCACCUGGGGAGUACGCCGGCAACGGUGAAACUCAAAGGAAUUGACGGGGGCCCGCACAAGCGGAGGAACAUGUGGUUUAAUUCGAUGAUACGCGAGGAACCUUACCCGGGCUUGAAUUGCAGAGGAAGGAUUUGGAGACAAUGACGCCCUUCGGGGUCUCUGUGAAGGUGCUGCAUGGUUGUCGUCAGCUCGUGCCGUGAGGUGUCGGCUUAAGUGCCAUAACGAGCGCAACCCCUCUCCUUAGUUGCCAUCAGGUCACGCUGGGCACUCUGGGGACACUGCCACCGUAAGGUGUGA
rnacentral:rRNA from 1 species